rnacentral:sRNA from 1 species
GAAGGACUGUCUGACGCGUAUCAACCGCAUGUCUCUCGAGCCAACAUUACUAUUUCGGGAACUGUCACUGUCCGGAUCGUGGUCCGGUUAUAUGGUGCCCACCUUAACAUAAGCGGUUCGGUCUGAAUGUAAGAGAGUACGGUCAGACGGUUCUUUC